CUGUACAGUUCAGAGUUUGAUCCUGGCUCAGGACGGACGCUGGCGGCGUGCCUAACACAUGCAAGUCGAACGGAGUAGAGAGCUCGGUUUUCUGCUUAGUGGCGAACGGGUGAGUAACGCGUGAAGAACCUGCCUUUCAGUGGGGGACAACAGUUGGAAACGACUGCUAAUACCGCAUAAUGUAUUCGGAUGGCAUCAUCUGGAUACCAAAGCUUAAUCGUGCUGAAAGAUGGCUUCGCGUCUGAUUAGCUAGAUGGCGGGGUAACGGCCCACCAUGGCGACGAUCAGUAGCCGGUCUGAGAGGAUGAACGGCCACAUUGGGACUGAGAUACGGCCCAG
rnacentral:rRNA from 1 species